UAGGACAUGGUAUGAUAGGUAGCACAGAGAAUUUUGGAUUCUCAGGGUAGGUUCAAUUCCUAUAGUUCUAG
rnacentral:tRNA from 1 species